UUGUUUUUGUUCCGAGUUCGGAUCUAGUAGAAAGGGCGCGCAGAGGGCGGGGAUUGGGCGAAAUGAGAGCCCCGAGGUCGCCGCAGGAGACGAAGAGGACUCGGGGGUGGGAAAGAGGGCAACGGGCAAAGGGAAGCAUUAAGUAUUCCACUUGGGGAGUACGCCGGCAACGGUGAAAAUCAAAAGGAAAUGACGGGGGGCCCGCACAAGCGGAGGAACAUGUGGUUUAAUUCGAAUAUACGCAAGGAACCUUACCCGGGCUUAAANUGCACGUGGAAUAACGUGGAGACAUGUUAGCCGCAAGGCAGGUGUGAAGGUGCUGCAUGGUUGUCGUCAGCUCGUGCCGUGAGGUGUCGGCUUAAGUGCCAUAACGAGCGCAACCCUUAUCUUCAGUUACUAACAGGUUAUGCUGAGGACUCUGGAGAGACUGCCGUCGUAAGAUGUGAGGAAGGUGGGGAUGACGUCAAAUCAGCACGGCCCUUACGUCCGGGGCUACACACGUGUUACAAUGGGGGGUACAGAAGGCCGCUACCUGGUGACAGGAUGCUAAUCCCAAAAACCUCUCUCAGUUCGGAUCGAAGUCUGCAACCCGACUUCGUGAAGCUGGAUUCGCUAGUAAUCGCGCAUCAGCCAUGGCGCGGAGAAUACGUUCCCGGGCCUUGUACACACCGCCCGUCAAGCCAUGAAAGCCGGGGGUACCUGAAGUACGUAACCGCAAGGAGCGUCCUAGGGUAAAACUGGUAAUUGGGGCUAAGUCGUAACAAGG
rnacentral:rRNA from 1 species